GACGAACGCUGGCGGCGUGCUUAACACAUGCAAGUCGAACGAAGUGGCGAACGGGUGAGUAACGCGUAAUCAACCUGCCCUUCAGAGGGGGCCAACAGUUGGAAACGACUGCUAAUACCGCAUACUGAAGGAGGGGAUUGCGUCUGAUUAGCUAGUUGGAGUGGUAACGGCCCACAAAGGCGCUGAUCAGUAGGCGGUCUGAGGGGAUGAACCGCCACAUUGGGACUGAGUCACGGGCCAGACUUCUACGGGAGGCAGCAGGGGGGAAUCUUUCGCAAUGGACGAAAGUCUGACGGAGCAACGCCGCGUGAGUGAUGACGGCCUUCGGGUUGUAAAGGUCUGUUAAUCGGGACGCGGUACCGGAAUAGAAAGCCACGGCUAACUACGUGCCAGCAGCCGCGGUAAUUC
rnacentral:rRNA from 1 species